GUAAUGUCUGGGAAACCGCCUGAUGGAGGGGGAUAACUACUGGAAACGGUAGCUAAUACCGCAUAACGUCGCAAGACCAAAGAGGGGGACCUUCGGGCCUCUUGCCAUCAGAUGUGCCCAGAUGGGAUUAGCUAGUAGGUGGGGUAAUGGCUCACCUAGGCGACGAUCCCUAGCUGGUCUGAGAGGAUGACCAGCCACACUGGAACUGAGACACGGUCCAGACUCCUACGGGAGGCAGCAGUGGGGAAUAUUGCACAAUGGGCGCAAGCCUGAUGCAGCCAUGCCGCGUGUAUGAGGAAGGCCUUCGGGUUGUAAAGUACUUUCAGCGGGGAGGAAGGCAAUGCGGUUAAUAACCGCGUCGAUUGACGUUACCCGCAGAAGAAGCACCGGCUAACUCCGUGCCAGCAGCCGCGGUAAU
rnacentral:rRNA from 1 species